UCAGGAUGAACGCUGGCGGCGUGCCUAAUACAUGCAAGUCGAACGCACAGCGAAAGGUGCUUGCACCUUUCAAGUGAGUGGCGAACGGGUGAGUAACACGUGGAUAACUACCUCAAGGUUGGGGAUAACAUUUGGAAACAGAUGCUAAUACCGAAUAAAACUUCGUAUCGCAUGAUACAAGGUUAAAAGGCGCUACGGCGUCACCUAGAGAUGGAUCCGCGGUGCAUUAGUUAGUUGGUGGGGUAAAGGCCUACCAAGACAAUGAUGCAUAGCCGAGUUGAGAGACUGAUCGGCCACAUUGGGACUGAGACACGGCCCAAACUCCUACGGGAGGCUGCAGUAGGGAAUCUUCCACAAUGGGCGAAAGCCUGAUGGAGCAACGCCGCGUGUGUGAUGAAGGCUUUCGGGCCGUAAAGCACUGUUGUAUGGGAAGAACAGCUAGAGUAGGGAAUGACUUUAGUUUGACGGUACCAUACCAGAAAGGGACGGCUAAAUACGUG
rnacentral:rRNA from 1 species